rnacentral:lncRNA from 1 species
UAAAACCAGUUUUUCUAACUCCUUUUCUUUUAAAGAAAGCUGUUUUUCAAAAUAUUUUUCUUUUAGAGAAGCAUUUUCUUUUAUGCUCUCGACAGUUUUUGAAGCUUUAAUAAAUUCAAUAUAUAGCUCAUCAAAAGCACUUCGCAUUUCUUCAAGAGUAAAGAAGUUUUUAGAGGAGAUUUGACAUACCUCAUCUUGCUUGUN